GUCUUGUCCUGACUUCCGUAAACGGGCUCUGUUUGAAUUCCGUGAUUCUUGAACAUCGCUGGAAGAAGUCUUGGAAUGGAUUACACUCGUCUCGAAUUCGAUCUCACGAAAAUUCAUACACCAAAGCUAUGGAAAAAUGUCAGCGGCUGAUGGACACUUCUAGCAUUGAGGCGGAAGAAGAUGCGAGCGUCCACAAAAGGCAGUGCAGGGUCACGUGAUGAUGAAUCCGUUCCGCAAGCAAGAAAGCAUUCCAGGAUGGUGCGUGUGCCUGGAAGCCCUGUCUGUCAGCAGAUGUCACUGCCUCCACCACCUGCAUAUGAGUCAACACCACACAUUGCCGUCACAUAUUGCCG